UCCUGAGUCAGGCCGAGGAGAAGAGGCAGGAAGAGAAGAAGGUCAAAGAUCUGUCUCUGGAUGUUCAGCUGGAUUUUCCUGCAGAAGAAGAGGCUCCCCUGGAGAAGAGAGCAAGGGAUGGAGGGGCUGCUUUGCUGGGGGUUGGAAUGACACUGGCAGUGUGUGCGGAGCCAUCCCUUCUUCCUGAUGAUGGAGUGAAAGCAGGAGAG